CUGUUUGGAGGAGGAGUAGAAGGGCAAAGUAUCAGAAAAGGAGAGAAAGAGGGUUAAGAGUGCCGGCCGGCUAUAUAAGCGGUUGUUGUCUUUUAAGACUUAGGGUUAAGGAUAACAGAUUUUCCCAUUUCUUGUUUUUGACACUUCUCAGGGUUUUUACAAGUAAAGAAGAAGAUGAUGGAGAUGGAAGGAAAGCACAAGAUGGACAGGCUAAGUAACUUACCAAAGGUUUCUAUGACACAUCAAGAAACACAUCAAGAAUUCCUCAUGGUAAACCCACGAAGAUGCAAGGAUUCUAGAGAUUUCCAAACAUUUGUCUAGCUUUUUAGGUUUGAAUUGCAAUGUGUCGUGGAAGUACCUUCGGUAAGUUGCUUAGCCUGUCGUCUACCGUUCAACUUCAUUCGAAAUAUGUUUGUGUUGAAAGGUAAAUAAUAGCAUAAAAAUGUGAAUUUUACACUUAUUUUAGUUGUCUUUUUUUUUAUCUGUUAAACCCUUUUUGAAAUAAAUCGUGAAAACUCAUUUUUUUCAUUAGUUUUUCCGUUUCAUUGAUUUCUUAGGAUAUAGAUUGCAGAGAAGCAGGAAAAUAAUGACAGUUUUCCAACAUUGCAUUGGUAUUAAUUCUGGAUGUAACCUUUUUGGGAUUGAAUGUAAUGAUUACGAAAACUUAAGAUUGUAAUCAUGAGUAGACAAGUACUAUAGUAUGUUUCUGAUUUUGUAUAGGAUUCUUUUUGCUUUUGUUUGAACUUUUUGUAUCUCGAGGGUUUUGUUUUUGCACGCAAAUUUUAUGUUACCUGCAGGUCCGGCCCGCUUGGGAGAAGCUUGUUAGAUGGUCCCGUUUUUGGCGGUCCAAGGCCAAAACUGAUGGUCUUGAACGGACUAAAAAGGUGGUGGUGUUAGGAGGAGGAUCAUUUGGCACUGCAAUGGCUGCACAUGUUGCCAAUAAAAAGACUCAAAUGGAAGUUAGCAUGCUUGUACGAGAUCCUGCAGUUUGGUAAUCCAUUAAUGAGAACCAUUGUAAUUGGUGGGGUGUUUCUUUUAUUUUUUCCAUUCUUUGAAUUAUGUCCCGCUUUACAAUUAUAUGAUGAUGGUACUCAUCGAGUUUAAUUGACCUCAGAACAUUAUCUAUCUUCACUGUUCUCAGAACAUACUUUCCUGAACACAAGCUACCAGAAAAUGUGGUUGCAACUGCUGAUGCCAGAACUGCUUUGCUCGGGGCAGACUAUUGCCUUCAUGCUGUACCUAUGCAGGCCUUUCAAGUUGUUUGAUUAUGUUGAUGAUUGUUGCACUCAAAGAUGUGAUUGAUUUUUCCUUUCUGUUAAAUUUUAUCGCAUAAACAUGAUUUUCCACAAUAAACAAUUGUUACAUAGGGUCAUGUAACGUGUCUAAUUCUGUUUAAUAUCAACUAUGGAGAACUAUUUAGCUUAUUUUGCAGUCUGAGGCAACUGCCUGAAUCUUGCCUUCUCUAAUGCAGUUCAGUGCAACUUUUUUUAUGGGCAUUGCAGAACAUGUUGAUCCUGGCUUGCCAUUUAUAUCCGUUAGCAAAGACUUAGAGCUCAAUACAUUGAAGAUGAUGCCUGCAAGCAUUGAAAAUUGAAAUCACAGUUGGAAUAGAAAUGAUGCACUUUCAACUUCUUGUUAUUUGGUUUCUGUUUAUUCCUUGUUUUAACAACUCCUCUUAAUUGAUUUUUGUGAUUGAUACACAAGUCUUUUGACCAAAAAUUGAAGUUUUUAUUAUGUUUUACUUGUUUUUAUGUAAUGGGUUUCACUUCAAUUUAGUUAUUGUUUAUUAUGUUAGCUAUGGUUGUUGAGUGCUGCUGUGUUUGGGAAGUUGUUAAUGGGCUUUUUUGCCACCUAGCAUUUUCUUGUAUCCUUAUUUAAUGGGCUCUUGUUGGUGUAAAGGAAGGACUGGUUUUAUGUAUUCGAAUUUGGAAAUAGCUAUGCAAAAUUUUGCUUACAUUUGCAAUCUGGUGAGCUAUACUUUAUUUAUCUGGUUUGUUGAUUAUGUGGCAAUUUUUCUGGCAAUAUAUGUUUGUUCCUGCUGCUAAAUUUUGAAGUGAGGAGGCGGGGAAUGAUAUCAAGACCUUGUCCUUAAACAUUUUGAAGUCAUCUGGGAAGGAAUCACCAAAAAACAAGAAUGAGGUAUGAGGAGUACAUUGAUUAAGUAUUACCAGAGGAAAACCAGAGUAUGAGUCUCAAGAUUUGAGAAGCUGCUUACAAAUGGAACAAAGCACAACAUCUCUUGUGAUGAGGACUAGGAAGACACCCCUUUCAAUUGUAAACACAAGCUCUGCUGCUUUUUAAAGGGUAAAUACAAUACUGGGAAUCGCUGUUAGAACUUGGAAUAGAAAUGAAGCACAUUCAACUUUUUUUU
rnacentral:sRNA from 1 species